rnacentral:tRNA from 6 species
GUCCUCUUCGUCUAAGGGUAGGACACCGCCCUUUCACGGCGGCAAUAGGGGUUCAAAUCCCCUAGAGGACA